rnacentral:lncRNA from 1 species
GCUGUCCGUUGCUAUGAUAUAAUUGCUAUUAAUUUUUAUGUAUUGUUGUAUUCUAUAUUCUUGCUAAAUAAGUUUGUUAGUUCUAGGUUUUGGUCAGUUCCUUAGGAUUUUCUGUUUCAUAUAAGAUCAUAUCAUCUGAAACUAGGAAUUGUUUUACUUCUUCCUUUCCAGUGUGGAUGCUUUUUGUUUCUUCUUGCCUAAGUGAUGAAAAACGUCAUGAAGAAAGGCUUUGAGAUGAGGAGCCAGCCCCACCUGUGACAGACUCCUGACCCCAGUUCAUAGGGAGAUCCAUCUUUUACUCAUGUGGUGCGGAAGAGUUUGAGGGGAUUCUGCAUGUGUUAUCCUAGUGAUGUCUGAUAAUUCUGUGAGAAUUAGGUAGUGUCUGCUUUUCCAUGAAAAAGUGAGGCUCAGAGGAUAAGCGCUGUGCCAGACAGAAGUGACAGUAGGCCACCUUCCCACCCAGGCCUGCUCACAGCCAGCUGCCCUGUCUGGCUGGCUCCCCAAUGUGGACCAAAUCCUGCCCUGGCACCACUCAACCCACCUGGGGCUUAUCUGCAAU